GGCGUGUCACUUCAAAAAUGCUGUAAAGUGAUUCUCUGAUUCCUUCUCAACCAUAGUCUCUGAGCCCAACAAUGAGACCAACCAUAAGCAUAAACCUACGUAUCUUAGAAACACAGUUACAACGAUGUCAAUGUCUGAGACAAUUCAAGCAGAUUCUAUCUCAGAUGAUUCUCACAGCCUUUAUAACGGACACCUACGCUGCAAGUAGACUCAUCAACGUUUCCACUCACUCUAACUUCGUUCCAUUCGAAUAUUCCCUCCGAAUAUUCCAUCACCUUCACAACCCCAACGUCUUCGUAUGGAAUACCAUCAUGCGUUCCCACUUGCUCCAAAACGCACCACACCAAUCCCUAUACUUGUACAAGCUCUUCCUCUUAAACGACGUAGUUCCUGAUAACUACACCUACCCUAUUCUCCUUCAAUGCUGUGCUGCGCGAGGUUUGGAAUUCGAAGGAAAGGAACUGCACGGGCAUGUUGUUAGGUUCGGCUUUGGUUCGGUUGUUUACGUUCGGAACACGUUGAUUAAUUUGUAUGCUGUUUGUGGGAACAUGGCGACUGCGCGAAAGGUGUUUGAUGAAAGUCCUGUGUUGGAUUUGGUUUCUUGGAAUACCCUUUUGGCUGGGUAUGUUCAGAUGGGUGAUGUUGAGGAAGGGGAGCGUGUGUAUGGUUGGAUGCCGGAGAGGAAUACCGUUGCUUCCAACUCGAUGAUUGUGCUUUUUGGGAGGAAGGGUUGUGUGGCAAAGGCGAGGCGAGUUUUUGAUGGGAUUGAAAGGAAAGAUAUGGUUUCGUGGAGUGCGUUGGUUUCUUGUUAUGAGCAGAAUGAGAUGUGUGGGGAAGCGUUGGUUUUGUUUGUGGAUAUGGUUGCAAGUGGGGUGAUGGUGGAUGAGGUGGUUGUGGUUAGUGCUGUGUCGGCUUGUUCGCAGCUUUUGAGUGUAUGGAUGGGGAUGUCAGUGCAUGGGCUGGCUGCAAAGAUUGGAAUAGAGGGUUAUGUUAGCCUUAAGAAUGCAUUGAUACAUUUGUACACGAGUUGCGGGAGGAUAUUGGAUGCUGAAAAACUUUUUGAUGAUGGUGUCCUCUUGGAUCAGAUAUCUUGGAACUCGAUGAUUUCUGGGUACUUGAGGUGUGGUUUGGUUGAAAAUGCUAAGACAUUGUUUUAUUCCAUGCCAGAAAAGGAUGUUGUGUCUUGGAGUGCUAUGAUAUCGGGUUAUGCUCAACAUGAACGUUUCUCACAGGCUUUGGCAUUGUUCCAAGAAAUGCAGGUUCAUGGAAUUAGGCCAGAUGAGACUGUUUUAGUGAGUGUCAUCUCAGCUUGCACUCGUCUGGCUGCUUUGGACUUGGGAAAAUGGAUUCAUGCCUACAUUAGUAAGAAUAAGUUGCAAGUUAACGUUAUUCUGGGCACAACACUUAUAGAUAUGUAUAUGAAAUGUGGGUGUGUGGAAAAUGCGUUGGAGGUUUUCAAUGCAAUGGAGGAAAAGGGGGUUUCUACCUGGAAUGCUCUCAUUCUUGGGUUGGCAAUGAAUGGUUCGGUAAAACAGUCACUUGACAUGUUUGCGGAUAUGAAAAACACCAGGACUGUUCCUAAUGAGAUAACAUUUAUGGGAGUUCUUGGAGCCUGUCGGCACAUGGGCCUGGUGGAUGAGGGGCGCCACUACUUUAGUUCCAUGAUCCACCAACACAAGAUAGAGCCAAAUAUUAAGCAUUAUGGGUGCAUGGUUGAUCUUUUAGGACGUGCAGGUUUGCUUAAAGAAGCUGAAGAACUGAUUGAGAGUAUGCCAAUGGCACCUGAUGUUGCCACUUGGGGUGCUUUGCUCGGGGCUUGUAGAAAACACCAUGACAAUGAAAUGGGAGAGAGGGUGGGAAGAAAACUCAUUCAGCUUCAGCCUGAUCAUGAUGGUUUCCAUGUAUUAUUGUCAAAUAUAUAUGCCUCAAGAGGAAAUUGGGGCAAUGUUCUUGAAAUUAGGGGAAUUAUGGCACAACAUGGGGUGGUAAAGACACCUGGUUGUAGCAUGAUUGAAGCAAAUGGAAUAGUUCAUGAAUUCUUGGCUGGAGAUAAGACGCACCCACAAAUAAAUGAUAUUGAGAACAUGUUAGAUGUAGUGGCUGCAAAAUUGAAGAUUGAGGGCUAUGUACCAACCACAAGUGAGGUUUCACUGGACAUUGAUGAAGAAGAGAAGGAAACUGUCCUUUUCAGGCACAGUGAGAAACUUGCAGUUGCCUUUGGACUUAUCACCAUUGCUCCACCAACUCCAAUCAGAGUUAUGAAGAAUUUGCGCAUAUGUAAUGAUUGCCACACUGUUGUAAAGUUAAUCUCCAAAGCAUUUAAUCGUGAAAUUGUGGUAAGGGAUCGCCAUCGCUUUCAUCACUUUAAGCACGGAGCUUGUUCCUGCAUGGAUUUUUGGUAGCAAAACUGUACUUGCUAUUAAAGUGAAUGGGUAUCCUAUGCUUAAGGAAGGAGCUCUCAAUUGUUCUGGAUAUCAAAGUAUAUAGAACUGAAGAUUUUCCAGAUUUGGUUUGUUUCCUUGCUGCAGAAUCAAAUUUGUUCGUUCUUAUGCUCUUGUUGACAAAGAGUGACAGAUAUAUCUGUUGAUGUUGAUUGAGUUUGCAUCGGACAGUUGGCCCUUUUUCUCGGUUAAGUUUGGAAAAAUCAAAAAAUCUCUUAUUCAAUCACUAUCUCUGAGUCAGUGACCAUUCUUGUGAAGCAGCUGGGCGUGU